AACGAACGCUGGCGGCGUGCCUUACACAUGCAAGUCGAACGAGAAAGCCCUUCGGGGCAAGUACAGUGGCGGACGGGUGAGUAACGCGUGGGUAAUCUACCCCUGGGCGGGGGAUAACACUUCGAAAGAGGUGCUAAUACCGCAUAAGACCACGACCCUUCGGGGGCGUGGGAAAAGGUGGGGAUCUUCGGACCUGUCACCUAGGGAUGAGCCCGCGUACCAUUAGGUUGUUGGUGGGGUAAAGGCCUACCAAGCCAUAGAUGGUUAGCUGGUCUGAGAGGAUGAUCAGCCACACUGGGACUGAGACACGGCCCAGACUCCUACGGGAGGCAGCAGUGGGGAAUAUUGGACAAUGGGCGAAAGCCUGAUCCAGCAAUGCCGCGUGAGUGAUGAAGGCCUUAGGGUUGUAAAGCUCUUUUACCUAGGGAUGAUAAUGACAGUACCUGGAGAAUAAGCUCCGGCUAACUCCGUG
rnacentral:rRNA from 1 species